CAGGCCCAGCGAGGUUAUAGAACUUUCCUCAGGUCACCCAGUAAGUGGGGGAGUCAGAAAUUCGACCCAGAACCCUCUGACUCUAACACCUGGGCCUGUUCUGUUCCUCACUGCUGCCCAGGAAAAGUCUGGUCUGGCUCAGGAGGAAAUACCUACUGUCCACUCUGUUCCCCCCCCGGUUGGUGGGUGCCUGUGUCCCGUGCCACCUCCAAGACUUGGCUUGUGCCUGAAAUCUCCACUAGAAAACAAUGCUGAGAGGAAACAGCAGGACUUCUCUGUUUCCACACCCAACUCUCCUUCUGGGCUCCCAGCCCUCCUCCCACAGCGUGGGGUGAACCCCGUGGGGCCUGGCCGCGGUGAUCUCAGGGCGCUGGGCCUUGUCCCCAGUUCCUGCUUCUGCAAGUCUCAUUUGGUAAUUUUUGACAGAGUGAAAACCAACCCCUGAAACCUAGCCUGUGUGGUUGGUUCCCUUUGAUAACGCUACGAGAUACAGGCCCCCAUGAUGUCACCUCCCUACUCCCAAGGGAUGCUCGGUGCUGUCCCUGCCCCCUCGGCCCGUCUCAGAUCUCUCCACACAGGGGAGGGCAAGCCCUCCUUAUCUUCCCCAGUUGGUCUCGGUAUUUCUCAUGCUCUCUGACACUUCCGACACCUUGGGGUGCUGCUACUCCUCCCCCUCAACACCUCGCAGCAGCUUUAAGGUGACAGGAAACUUUCAGGGGUAGUCAGGUGUCUUGAGGAACCUUGUUGGUUUGGGGAGAGAAACAUCUAGACAGUGGCGUGCACUAGAACUUUCUGCAGGGAUGGAAAUGUGAUGUCUGGACAAGAAAAUGAAAGCUCGGGACUGCCUGAUGCAAAACCGAGUAGCCGGAAGGCUGGCGCUGUCCAUCUGUCACGGUGGCCUUGGCUGAUGUUGCUGUUCUGUGAAACUGGUUUUGCUCAAAGGAGAAGACCAAGGCCCAGCGUGUGACGCUGACCCUCCUCCAUGGCCAGGCGGGGUGAAUCUCAUCUCCUUGCACCUGAUUGGACCUUUGAAAUUGGCCAACCAAGUGCUGUGGAAGUGCUGCUGAGUGACUUCGGAGACUAGAUCAUAAUAGGUGAUAUGGUUUCUGCUUGUCUCUCUCAACAUGUCCCGAGAGCCCAGAGCCAGCAGGUGAGAAGUGGAGGUGCCCUCGGGCUGCCGUGCAGACAGGACACGGAGCGCUGCUGGGGGGUGUCUGGGGAGCAGCCCAGCUGUGUUCCCCUGGCUCAGGCAGCAGACGUGUGAGUGCAGGACUCUUCCGCCGGCCUAGCCACCGGCUGGGGCUGCAGUCCCGUGAGAGACCACCCAGCCAGAACCACCCAGUCCGGCAGCCUCCAAGUUCAUGACUCUUAGAAACUCAGAGAGAUAAUAAAUGAAUACUAUGGUUUUAAGCUAAG